UACGUAGGGUGCGAGCGUUGUCCGGAAUUAUUGGGCGUAAAGCGCGUGUAGGCGGUCCGGUAAGUCCGCUGUGAAAGUCGGGGGCUCAACCCUCGGAUGCCGGUGGAUACUGUCGAGCUAGAGUACGGAAGAGGCGAGUGGAAUUCCUGGUGUAGCGGUGAAAUGCGCAGAUAUCAGGAGGAACACCGGUGGCGAAGGCGGGUCUCUGGGACGUAACUGACGCUGAGGAGCGAAAGCAUGGGGAGCGAACAGG
rnacentral:rRNA from 1 species